GACGAACGCUGGCGGCGUGCUUAACACAUGCAAGUCGAACGGAAAGGCCCUGCUUUUGUGGGGUGCUCGAGUGGCGAACGGGUGAGUAACACGUGAGUAACCUGCCCUUGACUUUGGGAUAACUUCAGGAAACUGGGGCUAAUACCGGAUAGGAGCUCCUGAUGCAUGGUGGGGGUUGGAAAGUUUCGGCGGUUGGGGAUGGACUCGCGGCUUAUCAGCUUGUUGGUGGGGUAGUGGCUUACCAAGGCUUUGACGGGUAGCCGGCCUGAGAGGGUGACCGGCCACAUUGGGACUGAGGUACGGCCCAGACUGCUACGGGAGGCAGCAGUGGGGAAUAUUGCACAAUGAGCGGAAGCCUGAUGCAGCAACGCCGCGUGCGUGAUGACGGCCUUCGGGUGGUAAACCGCUUUCGCCUUUAACGAAGCGUGAGUGACGGUAAUGGGUAAAGAAGCACCGGCUAACUACGUG
rnacentral:rRNA from 1 species